AGAAAUUUCCAGAUCUGGAGCAGCCCUCUCUCUCUCUCUAAAGUGCUCGCCGGUGCACUCCUUCUCGGUAACACCUCCCAACUCUGGGAGUCCAAUGGAAGAUGGUGAAUGGGUUCUGGUACAGCACCCCCAGUAAAGGACUCCUUUGAACUAACCACACUUGAUUCACAGAUUUCAAAUGCUCUCAAGGUGCGGUUCACCGGGCCAGCAAAGAACUGGACCGAUGCCAUUACGAUCGGCAACGGCCGACUCGGUGCCAUGGUGUUCGGCGGCGUUGCAUCCGAGACUCUCAAUCUCAAAGGAAUGACAAAAUCAAAAUAGAAAGGUAAAAAGUUGGUACUUGUGGAACGAGCAUAUAAUGCCCAGCUAAUAGUAAGGAUUGACCCUCCAGCACGGAUGAAAUGGUGAGAUGACCGGUGAUACGCACCUAAGAUUGCUUGAUCGUGGUGCUUAAGUCCGUUAGUUAGAAGUGCUUUUAGCUUUUAUUGUCGUUUUUAGUCGAUAUUGCUCGUGAGGUAGUUUGUUUAGUGUUUCAGGCAAAACGCCCUUAAAAGGCGUGUUUUGGAUGCAAAGUCAACCCCCAAGUUAAUUCAAGACUCAUCGCUCGGUGGAACUUGUGCCAAAGUGACCAAAGAACGAAGGCGAGGAGCAUCGGGCAAGCCAACGGUCGUCGGGUGUCAAGUUUUGGAGGCUGGCCUGAAGACCAGAGAUAAGCUCCCCGUAUCGAUACGGAUUUUGGACCGUAUCGAUACGCGUUUGUUAUCUUUCCAAUCAGAGAGUCCCGUAUCGAUACGGCCAUAAUCUGUAUCGAUACGGGAUUGUUACGGGAGAUUGGCCUUUUCAGCUUAACGAUGUGGUAUCGAUACUUUGCUUAUUCUGUAUCGAUACGGAGAGCUUCCGACCAGAUAUUUUGCUACUUUUUGGACUUUCCAUUUAUGGAAUACUUGCUACUUAUAGUAUGUUUUUAGAUAUUUGAGGAGAGAGAAACCCAUUGUGUAUAAAUAGGGGUCUCCUCUCUCCCCUUUGUUAUCUAGGUCUUUAAUAGCUUUUAAUUUUCCUCCAUUAAUGGUUUUUCAAGCUUUUCUAGUGUAA